rnacentral:lncRNA from 1 species
CCAGGGACCUGUAUCCUUCGGCAAAGCCCAGCCCGACGGCAUCUGGACGUCGCUGCUCAUCAAGCUGAACAACAACUUUCUGGAGUGCGGCUACGCGAAUCCGGUCGAAGAGCAGUUUCGCUCGAGCGCCAACUUCAACUACCAGCUGUGGCACGAUCUCCUGGUGACAGGAAUAGUCACUCUCGGUGGACUGUCCAGUGCCUUGUCCGAUAAGCACAGUUACGUCACUAUCGGGUCGAAACACGAUAGGAGAGACGGAAUCGAAAAGAACAGUGUGGAUUAUGGUGAACACAGACUGACAACCGCCUGACUGACAAUCUCACUGCACAGUUUGAUGUCCGAGAACCAUUCAAGGAUUGUAUAGGUCAGGUGCGCAUCGGCAGCAUACUGCUGCACUACUUCACGAAUGAAGAAGUGUAAAAAAUGCGUGUCAAAAUGCGAACUAUACGCCGCUGGAGUUUCUGACGUUGCACAGCAACGACAAUGCCACUCACCUCGACAGUAUCGGCUGUCUGUUGUGCUUCGAUACCGACUGCAAAAACGAUGGCUACUGCUUCGAUAAAGCAAACAGCUACAUAUGCGAAUGUCCAGCCGGCUAUGCCGAGGAUGACUUCUCCUUUAACAUCGACGAGUACAUCGACAACAAGUGUCGAAACGGAGCGACAUGCGUCGACGGCAUCGCGAAUUACACCUGCAUCUGCGACAGCUGCUGGCAGGGAUGGCUAUGCGACAACGAUAUCAACGAGUGCGUGAUGCUGAAUUUCUGCAAACACGACGGUGUGUGCGUGAAUGUGUCAGGCUCAUUCCACUGCGAGUGACCAGACCAGUUUACCGGUGAUUUGUGCGAAAAAUUCCGACUGAUCACAUGCGAGAACAAUCCAUGCAUGCGCGGCGCGACCUGCCUCGACUCGCCGAACCCGAAGACAAGCGAUAACUUCACCUGCAACUGCCGACCUGGUUACGACGAUCCAGUUUGUAACUCGCUUUAUUGUACUCUACCUGGUCAGAGAUGCCAGAACGGUAGAUGCGAGUUUUUAGAAACGAAUUAUGAAUACCAACCGAGAUGCACCUGCGCUUUUGAUUGCACCGGCCUGUACUGCGAGACAAACAUCGAUGGAUGCGCGCCGGAUCUCAAGGGCGAACUACCCUGCAAAAACGGCGGCAAAUGUUUCAACGCGGUGAACAACUUCACAUGCAAUUGCCAGAACCGGAUACACCGGUGGCAAUUGCACCGAGGACAUAGACAAAUUCGAAAAUUCGCAGACAGAUUGUGGACACGGCAGGGGCCAAAAUCUUCUUGGUAGUUACGAGUGCGUUUGCGAUUUUGGCAACUGCGGCUACAAUUGCGCAAUGUUGGAUCCUUGCCAGGAAAAUUAUUGUCAGAACGGUAGCACCUGCAAGUGUGCCAAAGGUGGCGGAUACGAAUGUGAAUGCACUUCUGAAUACACGGGACUAAAUUAUACUGAGAUAAGCGGGAGCUCUUAUUUAGUAGCCAAGCCAUCGACAUAGCAGUGAUCGUAGGUCCAAUUGUGGGCUGUUUUUCUCUCAUCAUCAUCAGCUUUCUCACAGCGCUCUUCAUGAUAGCAAGAAAGAAACGCGCUACACGCGGCACGUAUAGUCCGAGUGCUCAGGAAUUCAGUAAUCGUCGAGUGGAAAUGGAUAAUGUGAUGAAACUUUCUCCGGAGGAAAGAUCGAUCUAAUCGAUCGGUGAUUGGUGAGAUGUAAUCUAAAUUAUAAAAAAUGCAGAUAAGUUUUGAUAUGUGGAAACUGUUUUACAGAGGCACGCGCAGAUUUUUCGUAAAUUAUACAAUUUUGCUUGGUUGUCGAAAGUUAAAUUAAAUUUAAUAAAAGCGAAUAAAUGAGACAACAUUCUGAUAAAGAAAUAAAAUUAGACAAAAUUACAUUUUUCUGAAAUUAAAUUUAUUAUCGUGAUAUAAAUUGGAAUCA